rnacentral:rRNA from 1 species
UACGAAGGGGGCUAGCGUUGCUCGGAAUCACUGGGCGUAAAGGGUGCGUAGGCGGGUCUUUUAAGUCAGGGGUGAAAUCCUGGAGCUCAACUCCAGAACUACUUCUGAUACUGAAGAUCUUGAGUUCGGGAGAGGUGAGUGGAACUGCGAGUGUAGAGGUGAAAUUCGUAGAUAUUCGCAAGAACACCAGUGGCGAAGGCGGCUCACUGGCCCGAUACUGACGCUGAGGCACGAAAGCGUGGGGAGCAAACAGG